rnacentral:siRNA from 1 species
UGAUGAAGUGUCGACAUUGAC